rnacentral:lncRNA from 1 species
UGAGGCUUAAUGUCACUUUCACUAUGGUAAUAGGUUAUGUGAUUGAAGUUUUACCCAUGUGGUUAUGCUUUCGAUUCGGUGUAGUGUGAAAGGGAAACACUUUUUUUCUUUUUAUGGUCCCGAUUAUUUAGUUUUUUUUUUGGAAUGGGGGAGUUUAUUCCCGUUUAUGUUUUGUAGUUAAUGUUUAUUCAAAGUGUCCCUUAUUUGAUAUAAGAGUGUUGUGGAUAAAUUUGUUGCAGACUUGCAAGCGUCUACAGAGUGU